CUUGAAACUCCCUGCUUUAUGAAAGACUCAUCUUUCAGAGAUCCUCUGAGCAUCCCAGCAAUAUCUGUACAACAAACUGAGUCUGCUUGUACAGGGAAUAAAAAAGUGAGGAGGCCUGGGGAAUGUCCACACUAAAACAACAGCUCUUCUUCAGAAAUGAUCCAGAGCGAGCAUGUGCAGGCACUGCAGGGCUGAACGAGAUGGAUUUGGGUCUGGAUCUCCAAAGCAAUGACAGGCACAUGGAGCCUCAAACACAUGUAAACUAAAGCUUCUUCAAGUAUUCCUUGUUUUUCAUCAUUUUUCUUCAAAAUAGCAGUAGAAAAUACCACAAGGAAAUCCCAUCGUGUGAAGUCUUUGCUUCAGCCCGUUUGCUGUUUCCUGAUAUAGCUGGUGAAGAGCUACUACGAAGCAUCUGAUCACAUCAAAGAUGUUGGCUGAGGGCCCCAAGAAUCUGCCAACGUACAAAGACUAGAUCAAGCAUGGUGCUGAGAUAUAGAGACUCUAGAGGGAUCUCCACUGUGAGCAGCUACAGAGGUUGGGACCUUCCCCACAGGUACUUGUGCAUUUCCAGGAGCUCAGCAUCGUGCCAAACCUUGGGGACUGGGAGAACAACUGAAUGAUGAACUUAACACUGUUACUGGUUUGACUCCCACCUGAACUCUACCAGUGAAAUCUAUAUCAUCCUGACAAGAAAUCAGCUGCUGCCUGAAACCUCUGACUUUGAGAACAUUCUGCAGUUGGAAAAUCACAUGUACCUGCAACCCUCCAGAGGAGAAAGUGAUUCAAAGGCUCUUCUUCAACUCUGAUGGGAAGUGGAGAACCAGACUUCAGGUGAAAAUUGGAGAGGGCUUUGGUGCCAGCAAGAUGUCCUUUGAGGUAGCUGCAGCUCAAACAACUGUUGAAAUGAGCAGAGCCAGAGUUUGACUGGAAGCCGAUAAAAAGAGUAGCUCGGGUUUCUCAAGAAUCCUCAAACAUCCAGAGUAAGAGCUAUGAAUGGAAAUGCAAGGCUGCUGAAAAGGAGAGAAAACCAACAUUAAAACAUCCG
ensembl:lncRNA